GAUGAACGCUGGCGGCGUGCCUAAUACAUGCAAGUCGAGCGAACGGACGAGAAGCUUGCUUCUCUGAUGUUAGCGGCGGACGGGUGAGUAACACGUGGAUAACCUACCUAUAAGACUGGGAUAACUUCGGGAAACCGGAGCUAAUACCGGAUAAUAUUUUGAACCGCAUGGUUCAAAAGUGAAAGACGGUCUUGCUGUCACUUAUAGAUGGAUCCGCUCUGCAUUAGCUAGUUGGUAAGGUAACGGCUUACCAAGGCAACGAUGCAUAGCCGACCUGAGAGGGUGACGGGCCAACCUGGAACUGAGACACGGUCCAGACCCCUACGGGAGGAAGCAGUAGGGAAUCUUCCGCAAUGGGCGAAAGCCUGACGGAGCAACGCCGGGGGGGUGAUGAAGGUCUUCGGAUCGUAAAACUCUGUUAUUAGGGAAGAAAAUAUGUGUAAGUAACUGUGCACAUCUUGACGGUACCAAAUCAAAAAGCCACGGCUAACUACGU
rnacentral:rRNA from 1 species